UAAGGUUUGACGGGGCGGGACCUUGAUUAAGUCCGAUAGGGGCAGAGCGAUACGUGAAGAAACGGAAAGGAAGAAUGGCGGCGCUUCGUUAAAGAUGUUCAUAGUGGCUUUGAAGAGUCACUCAAGCUGUAGCAACGGAAGCGCUCAGGAAGCUGUCUCUGCUAACCUUGAGGCCCAAGUUCAUUGGGCAGAGAACCACAACCAGAACCUUAAAGCUCACCUACCUGGACAUAAGGGUUUGAAACUGACUGGAUAUCACGGAUGAGAUCUCCUGAGGCAACUGUUUAGUAAUAUAAUCUGCCUGCUGGAUACCAGAUGAGACCACAGUCCACCUGGAGCUUCGGUCCAAGUUCUUCUGUAUUCCAGCCACAUGUUGAAUCCUCAUAAACAUGUUGCAAACUCCACCAGUAGGCGAGAAUGUCCUUAAAAUCUUCACUCCUACGACUGCAGCUGCGGAGAAUCAGGCAGGAGGUCAUGAACGAGACUCUGUUGGACGACUGUGAGCCAGCGUGGAAACAAACUCCUCAUCCAUAAACCAAAACAAAACGAAAGAGAUCAUUGAGGAGUAAGCCGAAGAGUAAGUCCUGGAAGGAAAGCUGGAGAUGAACGGAAGAUCUGUGUUUCAUGGAAAUAAACCUCUGACGCUUUCUGAACUCGCUUUCGGUCCACUAUAAUCUAUGUAUAGUUCAUAAAUUAAUUUCAUUACUUGUUUUGGGGCUACAACUGACUUACUUUGGUAAACAACCAUUGAAUUGAUUUAUUGUAUAGAAAGAAUUUCCAAAGUAUUUGUACAUUAUUAGAAUUACAUUAAAAUAUGCAAAUAGACAAUUCCAUUCAGAGCUCAACCGGCUCCGCCAUCUUGCUGCUACGCUCUCCUACCAUGUUGCGUGUAACGCCCUCUGUCUUUCGUUCCCCAAACCGGUGGAAACAGGCGUCACCUCUCAACAAAACACCAACUUUUGAAGUCACCCAAACUGAAGUGAUUAAAGAAUGAAAGUUCUUUUGGUGGAAGCAAACUAAUGUUGUCGUUGUUCUUGGGAUCUGCUUGUUCUUUGAUAUAGUGAUGGAAAUAAGGCUGGAUUUUCAAUCACCAAUAGAUGCUGGUCUAGAGUAAGUGGAGGAAAAAUAACAAAAUCUGCCGAUGUUCAAGAAAGAAGAGUGAAAUCUGCAGAUUUUCAUUCUUGAAACAAAUGACUGCAUUAGUGUG